rnacentral:rRNA from 1 species
UAGGGAAUUUUCGUCUUAAUGGGGGCAACCCUGAACGAGCAAUGCCGCGUGAGCGAAGAAGGUCUUCGGAUUGUAAAGCUCUGUUGCCGGGGAAAAAGGAAGGAAAGAGGAAAUGCUUUUCUUUGGAUGGUACCCGGCCAGAAAGUCACGGCUAACUACGUGCC